AUUGGAUUCACGCCGGAAAUCUUACCGGGACCGACAGCGAUAUCCUUUUGGGCUGAAGACUUUGCCGGAUUAGCUGAGAGGUGGUGCAUGGCCGUCGUCAGUUCGUACUGUGAAGCAUCCUGUUAAGUCAGGCAACGAGCGAGACCCACGCCCACAGUUGCCAGCGUACUCUCCGGAGUGGUGGGUACACUGUGGGGACCGCCGCUGCUAAAGCGGAGGAAGGAAUGGGCAACGGUAGGUCAGUAUGCCCCGAAUAUCCCGGGCUACACGCGAGCUACAAUGGUUGGUACAAUGGGUAUCUACCCCGAGAGGGGAUGGCAAUCUCCUAAAACCAAUCUUAGUUCGGAUUGAGGGCUGCAACUCGCCCUCAUGAAGCUGGAAUCCGUAGUAAUCGCGUUUCAACAGAACGCGGUGAAUACGUCCCUGCUCCUUGCACACACCGCCCGUCAAACCACCCGAGUAGGGUCUGAAUGAGAGCGCUUACCAAUCGGAGGCGUUCGAAUUUGGGCUUUGCAAGGGGGGUUAAGUCGUAACAAGGUAACCAAGGGCGAAU
rnacentral:rRNA from 1 species